UACGGGGGGGGGCAAGCGUUGUUCGGAAUUACUGGGCGUAAAGGGCUCGUAGGCGGCCAACUAAGUCGGACGUGAAAUCCCUCGGCUUAACCGGGGAACGGCGUCCGAUACUGGAUGGCUUGAGUUUGGGAGAGGGAUGCGGAAUUCCAGGUGUAGCGGUGAAAUGCGUAGAUAUCUGGAGGAACACCGGUGGCGAAGGCGGCAUCCUGGACCGACACUGACGCUGAGGAGCGAAAGCCAGGGGAGCAACGGG
rnacentral:rRNA from 1 species